UAAUUAGCCUGGUCCAAAUAUCAAUGCAAGCACUGUCUACAUUGAGUUAUGCAAUGCAGUAGUAUCGAAACUUGAUAAUCGUGUUAUAUACCAUAAUGGGACUUCGAAUCCUCCAACCUUCAUUUUAGGUCCGAAGUACUUAGCAAGUAAUGUUUACCAACAGAGCCCAAUUGAGGAUUUGGCGUUGGCCACUACACUAGUAAGGGAAAUAUUUUUUUACAGUGUGGAGGAUGUUUCUAACGAGAUAAUUCUUUCGAG